AACGACUCUCGACAACGGAUAUCUCGGCUCUCGCAUCGAUGAAGAACGUAGCGAAAUGCGAUACUUGGUGUGAAUUGCAGAAUCCCGUGAACCAUCGAGUCUUUGAACGCAAGUUGCGCCCGAAGCCACUAGGUCGAGGGCACGUCUGCCUGGGUGUCACGC
rnacentral:rRNA from 1 species